rnacentral:rRNA from 1 species
AACACUUCGGGUGACGAGCGGCGAACGGCUGAGGAACACGUUAGUACCUGCCCCAAACUCAGGGAUAAGCCUUGGAAACGAGGUCUAAUACCGGAUGACCCAGUAAUGGGAAAGAUUUAUCGGUUUGGGAGGGGCUUGCGGCGUAUCAGAUAGUUGGUGAGGUAAAAGCUCACCAGGUCUAUGACGCGUAUCUGGUGUGAGAGCACGACCAGACAGAGUGGGACUGAGACACGGCCCACACUCCUACGGGAGGCAGCAGUGAGGAAUUUUCCACAAUGGGCGAAAGCCUGAUGGAGCAAUCCCGCGUGCAGGAUGACACCUUUCGGGGCGUAAACUGCUUUUCUGAAGGAAGAAGUUCUGACGGUACUUCAGGAAUAAAGGGCGGCUAACUAUGUGCCAGCAGCCGCGGUAAUACAUAGGCCCUAAGCGUUAUCCGGAAUCAUUGGGCGUAAAGCGUUCGAAGGCGGACUGUUAAGUGAGAUAUUAAAUACCUGCGGCUCAACCGAGGUGCUGUAUCUCAAACUGGCAGACUAGAGUAGUGCAGAGGAAGCUGGAAUUUCCAUUGUAGGGGUAAAAUCCGUAGAUAAUGGAAGGAACACCAAAAGCGAAGGCAGGCUUCUGGGCACUUACUGACGCUGCGCGAACGAAAGCGUGGGGAGCGAAAGGGAUUAGAUAGCCCUGUAGUCCACGCCGUAAACGAUGGAUACUCGGUGUAGGAGAGAAUCAACCCUCUUCUGUGCCUAAGCUAACGCGUUAAGUAUCCCGCCUGUGGAGUACGGUCGCAAGACUAAAACAUAAAGGAAUAGACGGGGAUCCACACAAGCGGUGGAGCAUCUGGUUUAAUUCGAUAAUACGCGAGGAACCUUACCCAGACUUGACAUCCUUCGAAUUUUCUAGAAAUAGAAAAGUGCCUUCGGGAAUGAAGUGACAGG